rnacentral:rRNA from 1 species
AUUGAACGCUGGCGGCAUGCUUUACACAUGCAAGUCGAACGGCAGCGCGGGCUUCGUCCUGGCGGCGAGUGGCGAACGGGUGAGUAAUACAUCGGAACGUGCCCAGUAGUUGGGGAUAGCUCGGCGAAAGCCGGAUUAAUACCGCAUACGACCUGAGGGUGAAAGCGGGGGAUCUUCGGACCUCGCGCUAUUUGAGCGGCCGAUGGCAGAUUAGCUAGUUGGUGGGGUAAAGGCCUACCAAGGCGACGAUCUGUAGCUGGUCUGAGAGGACGACCAGCCACACUGGGACUGAGACACGGCCCAGACUCCUACGGGAGGCAGCAGUGGGGAAUUUUGGACAAUGGGCGAAAGCCUGAUCCAGCAAUGCCGCGUGUGUGAUGAAGGCCUUCGGGUUGUAAAGCACUUUUGGCGGGAACGAAAAGGACUGUGCCAAUACCACGGUUCGAUGACGGUACCCGCAGAAUAAGCACCGGCUAACUACGUG